UACGAAGGGGGCGAGCGUUGUUCGGAUUUACUGGGCGUAAAGGGCGCGCAGGCGGCUUAUUUUGUCAGGCGUGAAAGCCCCGGGCUUAACCUGGGAACUGCGUUUGAUACGGAUGGGCUAGAGUUCGGGAGAGGAGCGUGGAAUUCCCAGUGUAGAGGUGAAAUUCGUAGAUAUUGGGAAGAACACCGGUGGCGAAGGCGGCGACCUGGUCCGACACUGACGCUGAGGCGCGAAAGCGUGGGGAGCAAACAGG
rnacentral:rRNA from 1 species